AACUCGACAAUAUCCAAUCAGCUCAAUCUUUACAAAGUCUACCACGACAACAUCCAAGCAACUCGCGAACAUCUUUACAAAGUUUACCACGAACUAUAUAUCUUAGACUACACGUGAUUACAUAGCAUAAUACAGUUCAAUACAGUCACAAGCAACUCGACAACAUCCAAGCAACUCGCGAAUAUCUUUACAAAGUCUAUCACGAAAUAUAUAUCUCAGAUUUUACGUGAUUACACAGUAUAAUAUAGUUCAAUACAGUCACAACUGCACAAUCAUAUAACAUUCAAACAUCAUUUUUUG
rnacentral:lncRNA from 1 species